rnacentral:snRNA from 8 species
AUCGCUUCUCGGCCUUUUGGCUCAGAUCAAGUGUAGUAUCUGUUCUUAUCAGUUUAAUAUCUGAUACGUCCCCCAUCGGAGGACU